rnacentral:rRNA from 1 species
CAUUGCCUAUCUAUAUGACUUGACCAAAUUACGUGCCAGCAGUCGCGGUAAUACGUAAAAGUCUAGUGUUAUUCAUCUUUAAUAGGUUUAAAGCGUACCUAGACGGUUAAUCANGCCKAARUAAGGUACUAAUUAARCUASAGUUUUAUGUAAGGGUGCAUUAAGGUACUGUUGAGGUGUAGAGAUGAAAUUCUGUCAUACCARAUUAUUGGCACGGBUUUAGGCGAAAGCAUCACCUUAUGUAAUAACUGACGUUGACGGACRAARGCUUUGUGUCGCGAACAGGAUUADAUACCCCAGUAGUCUAAGCAGAAAAUGAUGAGUGUCAUAGGUUGAAUAUUAUUCKGUCUAUAAAUGAAAGUGUAAGCACUCCACCUCAAGAGUAAUUUGGCAACAUUGGAACUGAAAUCAUUAGACCGUGUUUGAAACCADUAGUGAARUAUGUUGUUUAAUUAGAUGCCACGCAAAAAACCUUACCACAAUUUGAAUAUUAANRAAAACUUUUUUACAANCGCUGCACGGCUGUUUUUUAGUUAAUGUCGNGAGAUUUUKGGUUAGUUCCAUUAAAUUAACRUAAACCCUUACUUUAUUUUAUAUAARGUAKUUCACCGCUAGAUUGGUUAAGAUAAC